rnacentral:rRNA from 1 species
UACGAAGGUCCCAAGCGUUGUUCGGAAUCACUGGGCGUAAAGGGUGCGUAGGCGGCGCGAAAAGUCAGAUGUGAAAUCCCUGGGCUCAACCCAGGAAUUGCAUUUGAAACUCCCUUUCUUGAGUACCGGAGAGGAAGGUGGAAUUCCUGGUGUAGAGGUGAAAUUCGUAGAUAUCAGGAGGAACACCAGUGGCGAAGGCGGCCUUCUGGACGGUAACUGACGCUGAGACGCGAAAGCGUGGGGAGCAAACAGG